rnacentral:rRNA from 1 species
GAUGAACGCUGGCGGCGUGCCUAAUACAUGCAAGUCGAGCGAACAGACGAGGAGCUUGCUCCUCUGACGUUAGCGGCGGUCGGGUGAGUAACACGUGGAUAACCUACCUAUAAGACUGGGAUAACUUCGGGAAACCGGAGCUAAUACCGGAUAAUAUAUUGAACCGCAUGGUUCAAUAGUGAAAGACGGUUUUGCUGUCACUUAUAGAUGGAUCCGCGCCGCAUUAGCUAGUUGGUAAGGUAACGGCUUACCAAGGCGACGAUGCGUAGCCGACCUGAGAGGGUGAUCGGCCACACUGGAACUGAGACACGGUCCAGACUCCUACGGGAGGCAGCAGUAGGGAAUCUUCCGCAAAGGGCGAAAGCCUGACGGAGCAACGCCGCGUGAGUGAUGAAGGUCUUCGGAUCGUAAAACUCUGUUAUUAGGGAAGAACAAAUGUGUAAGUAACUAUGCACGUCUUGACGGUACCUAAUCAGAAAGCCACGGCUAACUACGUG